GCUCCUGUAGCUCAGAUGGAUAGAGCGCAACGUUGCGGUCGUUGAGGUCACAGGUUCGACUCCUGUCAGGGGCACCA
rnacentral:tRNA from 2 species